rnacentral:rRNA from 1 species
GACGAACGCUGGCGGCGUGCUUAACACAUGCAAGUCGAACGGAAAGGCCCUGCUUGUGUGGGCUGCUCGAGGGGCGAACGGGUGAGUAACACGUGAGUAACCUGCCCUUGACUGUGGGAUAACUUCAGGAAACUGGGGAUAAUACCUGAUAGGAGCUCCUGCUGCAUGGGGGGGGUUGGAAAGUUUAGGCGGUUGGGGGUGGACGCGCGGCUUAUGAGCUAGUUGGUUGGGGAGUGGCUUACCCAGGCUUAGAAGGGUAGCCGGCCUGAGAGGUUGACCGGCGACAAGGGGACUGCGGGAGGGACCAGAGUCGAACGGUAGGCAGUAGGGGGGAGUAUGGCACAGCGGGGCGAAGUCUGUGGCGACAGCGUCGCGUUCGGGAAGCCGGCUUUGCGGGAGUGAAAAGCAUUCGCCUGAGACGAAGCGUGGGUGACGGUAAUGGGUAAAGAAGCACCGGCUAACUACGUG